AAUGAAGAGUAAAAAAAUUAUCACUUCCGAUUCAUAAGUUAACAAUGACUAGUCAAUAGCCAUAAAUCAUGUAAUUCAGAGGAGAAAUUGUCAUAUUCUCACAGGAGCUUAAAUUUCAUUACACACGUAUAGAAAUUGUUCAAACAUUCAUAAUUAAAUUUCAUAAUAAAAUUACAACUUGAAUACAAAUAAGUGGAAAUUCAACUUAAAUGUCACAAGGAAGUGGAAAUAUGUUGUCUGCAAUUUAAUUUAGCUUGAAAGUUGGACUGCAUCAGUGCACCUAACCAGUCACCUCCAUCCACAUAUAAAGCAUACUCUGCAAUUCUGCAUUCAAGGACAAUUACAUAAUUUCAGAGCAUUUAAAGUAAUACACAUAAAUAUAUUCAUUAAUGUAGUACUCUGUGAAUUAACACUACAACAACAGACUAGUGUAAUCAAGAUGCCUGAUAAAGUAAUCUAAUUAAAUUGCUCUAACUGGUAUACAAGAAAGAAGACUAGAAUUGCAGCAAAAUAAUAUCACUAUUACAGUAAAUAGAUUUCCUAAAACAAGUCACAAUAAAUAGAUUAUCUAAAACCCUCAUAUUCCACAAACUGAAAUGGUUCCUCAUGCAUGAUAAUAGCAGCAACAAGUAAUUCUCAAUAUCUCUCUUGGCUAAAUUUAGGAGUUGCUAAAUUUAAACAUGAACUUUCACGGGUUAUAAGCAUCUGACCAAUGUCUCUAGUAUCUCUCCUAACACAUUUUUCUAUAUGCUUAUGAAGAUUACCGGUACCAAAAGUACUAGGACAAGCAUAGGUUGUACCACAUUUUUUACACUUAUAGCGCUGUUUUUUGUUCGGUGGUAUCAGUGGAAGCAUCUCAAAAUGGUCCCAAACAUCAGAUUUAAGUCGCCUUCUACUCUGCGUGCUACUGGUUUCAACGCUUACAUUCCCGUCCGGAGGUGCUUCUUGGACUUCUACCUCCACCACAUCAUCUUCAAUUUCUUGAUUCAAUUCCAUAUUUUCGCUGCCACUUUCCAUCUACAUCAAUAAGACAGUAAACAGGAUUAGAUAAUCGAAUCCAGUGGAGAGUUCGAGUGAGAGUUUGAGUGAAACUUACCAAAUACGAAUCCAGUGGAGAGGGCGACUCGGCAAGUGAGAGUUCGAGUAGAGGGAGAGUUUUUGAAAGUGAAAAACAAAAUCAGAUAUGAAUCCAGUUGAGAGACUCAAAUCGGAGUAAAGAGGGAGUGAGAGGGGAGGAGAUUCGAAAGGAGAGAGAUGGUUUUGGAUUUGGAAUUCGAAGGCUAGAGUCUGAGAGAUUUAGGGUUGAGAAGGAUGAAGGCGGCCGCUCAG
rnacentral:lncRNA from 1 species